AUUGAACGCUGGCGGCAUGCCUUACACAUGCAAGUCGAACGGUAACAGGUCUUCGGAUGCUGACGAGUGGCGAACGGGUGAGUAAUACAUCGGAACGUGCCCGAUCGUGGGGGAUAACGAAGCGAAAGCUUUGCUAAUACCGCAUAAGAUCUAAGGAUGAAAGCAGGGGACCGCAAGGCCUUGCGCGAACGGAGCGGCCGAUGGCAGAUUAGGUAGUUGGUGGGAUAAAAGCGUACCAAGCUGACGAUCUGUAGCUGGUCUGAGAGGACGACCAGCCACACUGAGACUGAAGCACGACCCAGACUCCUACGGGAGGCAGCAGGAGUGAAUUUUGGACAAUGGGCUCGAGCCUGAUCCAGCAAUGCCGCGUGCAGGAUGACGGCCUUCGGGUUGUAAUCUUCUUUUGUACGUAACGAAAAGCCCUGGGUUAAUACCCUGGGGUCAUGACGGUACCGUAAGAAUAAGCGCCGGCUAACUACGUGGCAGCCGCCGCGGUAAAAC
rnacentral:rRNA from 1 species